UACAGAGGUCUCAAGCGUUGUUCGGAUUCAUUGGGCGUAAAGGGUGCGUAGGUGGCGCUGUAAGUCGGGUGUGAAAUUUCGGAGCUUAACUCCGAAACUGCAUUCGAUACUGCCGUGCUUGAGGACUGGAGAGGAGACUGGAAUUUACGGUGUAGCGGUGAAAUGCGUAGAUAUCGUAAGGAAGACCAGUGGCGAAGGCGGGUCUCUGGACAGUUCCUGACGCUGAGGCACGAAGGUCAGGGGAGCAAACGGGG
rnacentral:rRNA from 1 species